rnacentral:lncRNA from 1 species
UAAGAUAUUAAGUUCGGAAUCGAAGAUGGAUAGUAUAAUAUCUGAUUCAAAUUCUAUCUAUUAUCAUCUUUAGAACAAAGGAAGGUGGUCAUCUGGUUGGGAUAAAGUAUGCAUUUGCCUUUUAUUAAUGUUUAUUGUGAUGAUGAUGAUGUGGCUCCAGGGAGUAGUGGGGCAUGGGGAUGUCAGAGUGCAAGGGGGC